rnacentral:rRNA from 2 species
AAAUUGAAGAGUUUGAUCAUGGCUCAGAUUGAACGCUGGCGGCAGGCCUAACACAUGCAAGUCGAGCGGUAGCACAGAGAGCUUGCUCUCGGGUGACGAGCGGCGGACGGGUGAGUAAUGUCUGGGAAACUGCCUGAUGGAGGGGGAUAACUACUGGAAACGGUAGCUAAUACCGCAUAAUGUCGCAAGACCAAAGUGGGGGACCUUCGGGCCUCAUGCCAUCAGAUGUGCCCAGAUGGGAUUAGCUGGUAGGUGGGGUAACGGCUCACCUAGGCGACGAUCCCUAGCUGGUCUGAGAGGAUGACCAGCCACACUGGAACUGAGACACGGUCCAGACUCCUACGGGAGGCAGCAGUGGGGAAUAUUGCACAAUGGGCGCAAGCCUGAUGCAGCCAUGCCGCGUGUGUGAAGAAGGCCUUCGGGUUGUAAAGCACUUUCAGCGGGGAGGAAGGCGGUGAGGUUAAUAACCUCAUCGAUUGACGUUACCCGCAGAAGAAGCACCGGCUAACUCCGUGCCAGCAGCCGCGGUAAUACGGAGGGUGCAAGCGUUAAUCGGAAUUACUGGGCGUAAAGCGCACGCAGGCGGUCUGUCAAGUCGGAUGUGAAAUCCCCGGGCUCAACCUGGGAACUGCAUUCGAAACUGGCAGGCUAGAGUCUUGUAGAGGGGGGUAGAAUUCCAGGUGUAGCGGUGAAAUGCGUAGAGAUCUGGAGGAAUACCGGUGGCGAAGGCGGCCCCCUGGACAAAGACUGACGCUCAGGUGCGAAAGCGUGGGGAGCAAACAGGAUUAGAUACCCUGGUAGUCCACGCUGUAAACGAUGUCGAUUUGGAGGUUGUGCCCUUGAGGCGUGGCUUCCGGAGCUAACGCGUUAAAUCGACCGCCUGGGGAGUACGGCCGCAAGGUUAAAACUCAAAUGAAUUGACGGGGGCCCGCACAAGCGGUGGAGCAUGUGGUUUAAUUCGAUGCAACGCGAAGAACCUUACCUGGUCUUGACAUCCACAGAACUUUCCAGAGAUGGAUUGGUGCCUUCGGGAACUGUGAGACAGGUGCUGCAUGGCUGUCGUCAGCUCGUGUUGUGAAAUGUUGGGUUAAGUCCCGCAACGAGCGCAACCCUUAUCCUUUGUUGCCAGCGGUUAGGCCGGGAACUCAAAGGAGACUGCCAGUGAUAAACUGGAGGAAGGUGGGGAUGACGUCAAGUCAUCAUGGCCCUUACGACCAGGGCUACACACGUGCUACAAUGGCAUAUACAAAGAGAAGCGACCUCGCGAGAGCAAGCGGACCUCAUAAAGUAUGUCGUAGUCCGGAUUGGAGUCUGCAACUCGACUCCAUGAAGUCGGAAUCGCUAGUAAUCGUAGAUCAGAAUGCUACGGUGAAUACGUUCCCGGGCCUUGUACACACCGCCCGUCACACCAUGGGAGUGGGUUGCAAAAGAAGUAGGUAGCUUAACCUUCGGGAGGGCGCUUACCACUUUGUGAUUCAUGACUGGGGUGAAGUCGUAACAAGGUAACCGUAGGGGAACCUGCGGUUGGAUCACCUCCUUA